rnacentral:rRNA from 1 species
UACGGGAGGCAGCAGUGGGGAAUAUUGCACAAUGGGCGAAAGCCUGAUGCAGCUAUGCCGCGUGUAUGAAGAAGGCCUUAGGGUUGUAAAGUACUUUCAUCGGGGAGGAAAAAACAAAACUAAUAAUUUUAUUUCUUGACGUUACCCGAAAAAGAAGCACCGGCUAACUCCGUGCCAGCAGCCGCGGUAAUACGGAGGGUGCUAGCGUUAAUCAGAAUUACUGGGCGUAAAGAGCACGUAGGUGGUUUUUUUAAGUCAGAUGUGAAAUCCCUGGGCUUAACCUAGGAACUGCAUUUUGAAACUGAAAUACUAGAGUAUCGUAGAGGGAGGUAGAAUUCUAGGUGUAGCGGUUGAAAUGCGUAGAUAUCUGGAGGAAUACCUGUGGCGAAAGCGGCCUCCUAAACGAAUACUGACACUGAGGUGCGAAAGCGUGGGGAGCAAACAGGGAUUAGAUACCCGU